GCUUAGGGGCCUUUUCUUUGUCAUUUUUCUUCCUCUCUCUUCUUCUUCUUUUUUUUUUUUUUUGGUGUUUCUCUGAGUCAGCCUCCUGCGAUCUCUCACCCUUUGUCCUGCCCAUUUUCUUCGAGAUCAUCAGGAUCUUCAUUUGAAGAUAUUCGAAAUGUCUUUCGGUACUUCCGCCUCCGGCGGUUCCGGGAGCUCUUCCUCCUCAACCCCCCAGGUCCCCCAUUCUGUAGAUGAACCCGUACUUGGGGCUGGGCCUCGCCUGACUUUCGUGCCGAGUGCCAUUCCCUAUUCCUUGACUCCGGAUGAACUCCUGCUGAUAAGGGUUCAGUACGGAGUUCCUCCAGAGUA
rnacentral:lncRNA from 1 species